GACGUAGGGCGCGAGCGUUGUCCGGAUUUAUUGGGCGUAAAGAGCUCGUAGGCGGCUUGUUGCGUCGACUGUGAAAACCCGCGGCUUAACUGCGGGCUUGCAGUGGAUACGGGCAGACUAGAGGUAGGUAGGGGGAGAAUGGAAUUCCUGGUGUAGCGGUGAAAUGCGCAGAUAUCAGGAGGAACACCGGUGGCGAAGGCGGUUCUCUGGGCCUUACCUGACACUGAGGAGCGAAAGCGUGGGGAGCGAACAGG
rnacentral:rRNA from 1 species